rnacentral:rRNA from 1 species
CUAAAGCGAAACCCAACUGAAUGGCCGCGGUAACUCUGACCGUGAUAAUGUAGCACAAUAAAUAGCCAAUUAAUUGUUGGCGGGUAUGAAUGGAACCACGAGGGUCUUACUGUCUCAAGAGGAAAGCCGAUGAAAUUAUAGUUGUAGUGAAGAUACUACAUAAACAUUGUAAGACGAAAAGACCCUAUCGAGCUUUACUGGAUACCGAUAGCGUUAACUUAAAAUGAUCGAUACUAAGUAUCCUAAUUUUGGGUUAAUAAUUUUUGUUGGUAAGACAGUUUAGUUGGGGCGACUACCUUUGAAUAAGAAACGAAGGCGAGCUUAUGGUAUAUAAAGUUAAUCUCAUUAGCCUGACAGUGAGGGGGACACCCCUAGCUGGCACAAGGACAACGUCCUAUGUGGGCGAUAAUGACCCGAUAUGAUUGUCCAAAAAAGAUAUCGAAAGCGGAUAAAAGCUACCGUAGGGAUAACAGCGUAA